GGGUCCGGACACACUGAGGAUUGACAGGCAAUAUUAAUACGUGUUUCGGCGCGUAUUAUGUUAAAUAUGCUAGUCCUUUCAUGAUUAUGUGAUAGGUGGUGCAUGGCCGUUCUUAGUUCGUGGAGUGAUCUGUCUGCUUAAUUGCGUUUCACUAAGAAUCUAUCAAUACGUGCGUUGCGGCACUUUGACCCCUCUCUGAGCGCGCGUCUUAGUUGCUUAGCUCGCACAAUUAGGUUCUGAAAGCAACGAACGUGACCGCAACCUCUUGUUGCCUUUAUACCAAACACGUUUACUGCUUUUGCAGUAUUCGUGCAAAAAGGCUUUUUAAACUAGAGGGACCGCUGUUACUUUCUUAAACCAGAGGAAGGUUGCGGCAAUAACAGGUCUGUGAUGCCCUUAGAUGUUCCGGGCUGCACACGUGCUACAAUGAUUGUUGCAGUGAGCAUCUCAUUUUUACACACCGCAUGCGCGAGUCCAUUUAUUCACUUCGGUGCUUUAAAUGUGUAUUUCUGCGCGCGGUAAAGCCUGCUUCGAGAGUAAGUGGGU
rnacentral:rRNA from 1 species